AGAAAACAAAAACGAGAGAACAAAAGGUGCGUACAAAUCUGGAACUUAAAAACGAAAAAGGGAAGCAACCAAAACACCAGUUAGAUGACCACAAACCCAAGUUAUGAACACCAGGUCGGAAGUGAAAGAAAUUUUUAGGGUUUAAGCCUUCAAUUUUUAGCUAGUAAAUAAAUGCUUGCAACAAAACAUUAAUUUUUUUGGUCGAAAGGCUCUUCCAGGUUUGGUUCCUGUCCAGAAGCUUCGCCGGAUCCAUCUUCUCAUUUUGUCUCAACUGUAACAUACAAAUACUGAAACAGAAAACACAGCUCGAUAUCUUCCAUCGUUAAUAGAUGGAUAUUUCCCCAUUAACAAAUACAGUAGCAGCUAGCAAGGCAAUGCAAUGCAAUACAAUCCAAGUCGGCCACAGGUUAAUCCGAUCAUACUUUACCAUUUUUAUUUUUAUUUUUAUUUUUGUCCAAAAUAGACAUCCACUUUUAGCAAAUGAAACAGCACUGAGGGUAUCCGAUAAUAAAAUUUGCUGGAAGAAAAAAAGCAAAAAUUGUUGGUGGGGUUUCAAAUAUCUUUCGUCUUUCUCCGAAUUAAACUUCCUAAAUAAUUUAUAUCCGAACCAAAAUAACAAAGCUCAUUCAUUCGAUGAAUCGGAGAUCACAAAGCGCAUAUAUACGCAAAAUCCAAAGAGAUUGAUUGGAGAGUGCUUACAGUAAAGUAGCGGCUCGAGGCUCUGCUUGCGACA